AAGUGUACGUCACUCCCAGGCCCAAGAACUUGGGAAGGGGCCGGGCGGCCGAAAGAGUUGGGAGGCGGAGUUGGCCAUUGAGCAUGCACACGGACCCCGCCGCCGCGCUAAGUGCGGCGGCAAAGAGCAGUGGCGCACCUCCCCUUCCAGAAGAAAGUAGGAGAGCCGGUUUGAGGCAAAAUACUGAGGAAGCGCUUUUGUCCUACUUCCGCUUUUUUCUUUAUCUCAAAGGAAGUUCCGGUUGUGGCACCUCUUACGCCACACCUUGUGUUGGGAAAUGGGAGUGCAAAGUAACCUUCAGAGUCCGGAGGCGUCUCUCAUCUGCUCUCCUUGGGGUAGGUUGGUGGGUAGAGAAGGCCGCCGUUGGAACGCGGCCUUCGACAGUCUUAGGUAGGACUCUGUCAAAGUCAAAGCGCCCUCUGCGGCGGAGGGGAGGACUCCAUCUUCAAGCCCACCGCCUUGUUUUUUUCGUUCCGCCUCGUCGCACCGUUUUCUAAACCACUCCUGUCCUUAGGUCAGACUGAGGAGCCUACGGCACUUAAGCCUUUCAAUCCCCAACCCAUUCUAAGCACAUGUCUUGAGCUGGAUGCAAGAGACACUGAGGUAGAGGACAUGCUCCUAGGUACGUUCAGACCAGCCGGAUCUUGAGUUCUCCAUUGAAUCAGCUUUACUCUCCUGCUGGUCUCCUCACUGAGGCAGGAGGGGUGUGGUUUCAAGACUGGAGCUCAAACCGGGAUAAAGUCAUUUUUGCCUCAGGACCCACAUCGCAGAAAAGGUACAUUAGAAGGGGUGAGCAAUCAGAGACAUUCAAUGAAUGAGGGUAUGUCUGGAAGAAGUAUUAGAUCAUCAUUCCAAAUUUCACAUGAACUUUAAUAAAUCAACCAUCAUAUAUCUGACCUUGCAAUUAAAAUGUUUGGAUU